UAUCCAAUAAGCGGAGGAAAAGAAACCAACAGGGAUUGCCUUAGUAGCGGCGAGUGAAGCGGCAAAAGCUCAAAUUUGAAAUCUGGCGCCUUCGGUGUCCGAGUUGUAAUUUGAAGAUUGUAACCUUGGGGUUGGCUCUUGUCUAUGUUUCUUGGAACAGGACGUCACAGAGGGUGAGAAUCCCGUGCGAUGAGAUGCCCAAUUCUAUGUAAGGUGCUUUCGAAGAGUCGAGUUGUUUGGGAAUGCAGCUCUAAGUGGGUGGUAAAUUCCAUCUAAAGCUAAAUAUUGGCGAGAGACCGAUAGCGAACAAGUACAGUGAUGGAAAGAUGAAAAGAACUUUGAAAAGAGAGUGAAAAAGUACGUGAAAUUGUUGAAAGGGAAGGGUUUGAGAUCAGACUCGAUAUUUUGUGAGCCUUGCCUUCGUGGCGGGGUGACCCGCAGCUUAUCGGGCCAGCAUCGGUUUGGGCGGUAGGAUAAUGGCGUAGGAAUGUGACUUUACUUCGGUGAAGUGUUAUAGCCUGCGUUGAUGCUGCCUGCCUAGACCGAGGACUGCGAUUUUAUCAAGGAUGC
rnacentral:rRNA from 1 species